GAAAUGCAUUGAGAUCGGAAAGAACACCAACGGCGAAAGCACUCUGCUGGGCCGACACUGACACUGAGAGACGAAAGCUAGGGGAGCAAAUGGGAUUAGAGACCCCAGUAGUCCUAGCCGUAAACGAUGGAUACUAGGUGCUGUGCGACUCGACCCUUGCAGUGCUGUAGCUAACGCGUUAAGUAUCCCGCCUGGGGAGUACGUUCGCAAGAAUGAAACU
rnacentral:ncRNA from 1 species